rnacentral:rRNA from 1 species
GGAAAUCUCACCAGGCCCGGACACUGGAAGGAUUGACAGAUUGAGAGCUCUUUCUCGAUUCGGUGGGUGGUGGUGCAUGGCCGUUCUUAGUUGGUGGAGUGAUUUGUCUGGUUAAUUCCGAUAACGAACGAGACUCUGUCCUGCUAAAUAGUGUCAGCCUCUCUUUUGGGCUGACAAUUCUUCUUAGAGGGACUGGCGGCUCCUAGCCGCACGAAAUAGAGCAAUAA